rnacentral:rRNA from 1 species
UACGAAGGGGGCUAGCGUUGUUCGGAAUUCCUGGGCGUAAAGCGUAUGCAGGCGGAUCGUUAAGUCGGGGGUGAAAUCCCGAGGCUCAACCUCGGAACUGCCUUCGAUACUGGCGAUCUUGAGUCCGGGAGAGGUGAGUGGAACUCCGAGUGUAGAGGUGAAAUUCGUAGAUAUUCGGAAGAACACCAGUGGCGAAGGCGGCUCACUGGCCCGGUACUGACGCUGAGGAGCGAAAGCGUGGGGAGCGAACAGG